rnacentral:rRNA from 1 species
UACGAAGGGGGCUAGCGUUGUUCGGAAUUACUGGGCGUAAAGCGCGCGCAGGCGGUCUUCCAAGUCAGUGGUGAAAGCCCGGAGCUCAACUCCGGAACUGCCAUUGAAACUGUAAGACUUGAGGAUGAGAGGUGAGUGGAAUUCCCAGUGUAGAGGUGAAAUUCGUAGAUAUCGGGAGGAACACCUGUGGCGAAGGCGGCCACCUGGACGGUAACUGACGCUGAGACGCGAAAGCGUGGGUAGCAAACAGG